ACUCAAAUGAAUAGACGGGGGCCCGCACAAGCAGCGGAGCGUGUGGUUUAAUUCGAGGCUACACGAAGAACCUUACCUGGGUUUGACAUGGUGCUAGUAGGGAAGCGAAAGCAGACCGACCCGCAAGGGAGGCAUCACAGGUGCUGCAUGGCUGUCGUCAGCUCGUGCCGUGAGGUGUUAGGUUAAGUCCUGUAACGAGCGCAACCCCCAGAAGUAGUUACAAGUUGUCUACUUCGACUGCCCGUGACAAACGGGAGGAAGGUGGGGACGACGUCAAGUCAGCAUGGCCUUUAUAUCCAGGGCUACACACACGCUACAAUGGCCGGUACAAUGGGUCGCCAAGCCGCAAGGCGGAGCUAAUCCAAUUAAAGCCGGUCACAGUUCGGAUUGUGGGCUGCAACCCGCCCACAUGAAGUCGGAGUUGCUAGUAACCGCAGGUCAGCUAUACUGCGGUGAAUACGUUCCCGGGCCUUGCACACACCGCCCGU
rnacentral:rRNA from 1 species